UAUUCAAUUUAUGCAUAUAUAAAACUAAACUAGUGAAAGAUCCACAAAGGGAGACCCUCACUCAAGUCUCGGGAAGUCGCAGACCCCAGACACACGAGAGACC
rnacentral:pre_miRNA from 14 species